rnacentral:rRNA from 1 species
UACGGAGGGUGCAAGCGUUGUCCGGAAUCACUGGGCGUAAAGGGCGCGUAGGCGGCUCAUGAAGGCUGUGGUGAAAGUCCGGGGCUCAACCUCGGAUCGGCCGUGGCGACUCGUGGGCUGGAGCACUGUAGAGGCGGGUGGAAUUCCGGGUGUAGCGGUGGAAUGCGUAGAGAUCCGGAAGAACACCAGUGGCGAAGGCGGCCCGCUGGGCAGUGGCUGAUGCUGAGGCGCGACAGCGUGGGGAGCAAACAGG